rnacentral:rRNA from 1 species
GAUGAACGCUGGCGGCGUGCCUAAUACAUGCAAGUCGAACGCUUCACUUCGGUGAAGAGUGGCGAACGGGUGAGUAAUACAUAAGUAACCUGGCAUCUACAGGGGGAUAACUGAUGGAAACGUCAGCUAAGACCGCAUAGGUGUAGAGAUCGCAUGAACUCUAUAUGAAAAGUGCUACGGGACUGGUAGAUGAUGGACUUAUGGCGCAUUAGCUUGUUGGUAGGGUAACGGCCUGCCAAGGCGACGAUGCGUAGCCGACCUGAGAGGGUGACCGGCCACACUGGGACUGAGACACGGCCCAGACUCCUACGGGAGGCAGCAGUAGGGAAUUUUCGGCAAUGGGGGAAACCCUGACCGAGCAACGCCGCGUGAAGGAAGAAGUAAUUCGUUAUGUAAACUUCUGUCAUAGAGGAAGAACGGUGGAUAUAGGGAAUGAUAUCCAAGUGACGGUACUCUAUAAGAAAGCCACGGCUAACUACGUG